rnacentral:rRNA from 1 species
UCCUACGGGGCGCAGCAGUGGGGAAUAUUGCACAAUGGGGGAAACCCUGAUGCAGCAACGCCGCGUGAGUGAAGAAGUCAUUCGUGAUGUAAAGCUCUAUCAGCAGGGAAGAAAAUGACGGUACCUGAGCAAGAAGCCCCGGCUAACUACGUGCCAGCAGCCGCGGUAAUACGUAGGUGGCAAGCGUUGUCCGGAUUUACUGGGUGUAAAGGGCGUGCAGCCGGGAAGACAAGUCAGAUGUGAAAUCCCGCGGCUCAACCGCGGAACUGCAUUUGAAACUGUUUUUCUUGAGUACCGGAGAGGUC